AGCGAACGCUGGCGGCAGGCCUAACACAUGCAAGUCGAACGAACUCUUCGGAGUUAGUGGCGGGCGGGUGAGUAACCCGUGGGAACGUGCCUUUUGGUUCGGAAUAACUCAGGGAAACUUGUGCUAAUACCGAAUGUGCCCUUCGGGGGAAAGAUUUAUCGCCAUUAGAGCGGCCCGCGUCUGAUUAGCUUGUUGGUGAGGUAACGGCUCACCAAGGCGACGAUCAGUAGCUGGUCUGAGAGGAUGACCAGCCACACUGGGACUGAGACACGGCCCAGACUCCUACGGGAGGGAGCAGUGGGGAAUCUUGCGCAAUGGGCGAAAGCCUGACGCAGCCAUGCCGCGUGAAUGAUGAAGGUCUUAGGAUUGUAAAAUUCUUUCACCGGGGACGAUAAUGACGGUACCCGGAGAAGAAGCCCCGGCUAACUUCGUG
rnacentral:rRNA from 1 species